rnacentral:lncRNA from 1 species
CAUGACUUAACAGAUGUUCAUAAUACAUGGGUUUCUAAAACCGAUAAAAAAAAAAUCUCUAGAGAAUUAAAUCAUAAAAGACCAUUACACAACAAAUCAUAGAUUUUUAAAAGUAAAGAAGCAGCAGAAAAGUACAUGCAAAAACGGAUUUAGCUGAAACCAUUGAGCAUGCAUUACGAGGUGGUGAACAAUCUGACCCUAUAAAAAGGGAAGGAAUAACUUUCACAAUCACAAAGAGUCUCUGAUUAGAGCUAAAAAGAGAAGGGAGCAAACUCACUUCCGGACAUGGGAGGAGGAGGAGCCACUCUUGUCCCAUCCACAGCACCAGCAAAAAGAGAGCCCUUAGGCUUU